rnacentral:piRNA from 1 species
UCCUGAUUUUUCUGUGGUCCUCUUG